CCGACGGUGAGGGGUGAAAGCUGGGGGAGCAAACCGGAUUAGAUACCCGGGUAGUCCCAGCCGUAAACGAUGUGCGUUAGGUGUAUCGGUGACCACGAGUCACCGAGGUGCCGAAGAGAAAUCGUGAAACGUACCGCCUGGGAAGUACGGUCGCAAGGCUGAAACUUAAAGGAAUUGGCGGGGGAGCACCACAACAGGUGGAGCCUGCGGUUUAAUCGGACUCAACGCCGGGAAACUCACCAGAUAAGACAGCUGAAUGAUAGUCGGGCUGAAGACUCUACUUGACUAGCUGAGAGGAGGUGCAUGGCCGUCGUCAGUUCGUACUGUGAAGCAUCCUGUUAAGUCAGGCAACGAGCGAGACCCACGCCAACAGUUGCU
rnacentral:rRNA from 1 species